rnacentral:rRNA from 1 species
GACGUAGGGCGCGAGCGUUGUCCGGAUUUAUUGGGCGUAAAGAGCUCGUAGGCGGCUUGUCGCGUCGGCUGUGAAAACCCGCAGCUCAACUGUGGGCUUGCAGCCGAUACGGGCGGGCUGGAGUUCGGGAGAGGGAUGCGGAAUUCCAGGUGUAGCGGUGAAAUGCGUAGAUAUCUGGAGGAACACCGGUGGCGAAGGCGGCAUCCUGGACCAACACUGACGCUGAGGAGCGAAAGCCAGGGGAGCAAACGGG